GGGUGCGAUCAUACUAGAACUAAUACACCGGAUUCCAUCAGAACUCCGCAGUUAAGCGUGCUUGGGCGAGUGUAGUACUACGAUGGGUGACCUCCUAGGAAGUCCACGUGCUGCACCGC
rfam:Gossypium raimondii Chr06_contig_388, whole genome shotgun sequence.